rnacentral:rRNA from 1 species
CUACGGGCGGCACCAGUGGGGAAUAUUGGACAAUGGGGGAAACCCUGAUCCAGCAAUGCCGCGUGUGUGAAGAAGGCCUGCGGGUUGUAAAGCACUUUCGGUUGGGAGGACUGCUUCUAGCACUAAUAUUGUUGGAAGUUGACGUUACCUUCAGAAGAAGCACCGGCUAACUCCGUGCCAGCAGCCGCGGUAAUACGGAGGGUGCAUGCGUUAAUCUGAAUUACUGGGCGUAAAGCGCGCGUAGGCGGCUAGAUCAGUCGGGUGUGAAAGCCCCGGGCUUAACCUGGGAACUGCAUCCGAUACUGUCUAGCUUGAGUACAGGAGAGGAGAGUGGAAUUCCACAUGUAGCGGUGAAAUGCGUAGAUAUGUGGAGGAACACCAAUGGCGAAGGCAGCUCUCUGGCCUGAUACUGACGCUGAGGUGCGAAAGCGUGGGGAGCAAACAGGAUUAGAUACCCCAGUAGUC